AAACUAUGAUUCAGACUCUUCUGCAAAUAUUCCUUGAAUCUCUCCCAGGCUUCAUAUAGUUUUUCCCCCGAUCGCUACUUAAAGUUAUAGAUCUUGUCCCAAAUUUC